rnacentral:tRNA from 1 species
GCCGAGGUGGAGGAAUGGUAGACUCGGGAGGUUUAAAACCUCCUGGACGCAAGUCCGUGUGGGUUCGACUCCCACCCCCGGCA